rnacentral:misc_RNA from 1 species
UCCCUGUUGCCAGGGCAGUCUAGCUAGAGAAAUCCAACUAACUAUAAGGGUUGCGCUCGUUGAUGGACUUAACCAAACAUCUCACGACACGAGCUGACGACGGCCAUGCAACACCUGUCACCGGCCAACUAAAUGAAGCUUCCUUUCGGAAGUGACACCGGGAUGUCAAGCCUGGGUAAGGUUCUUCGCUUAUCAUCGAAUUAAACAACACGCUCCACCGCUUGUGCGGGUCCCCGUCAAUUCCUUUAUGUUUUAAGCUUGCGCUCGUACUCCACAGGCGGGAUGCUUAACGCGUUAGCUUCGCUACUAGAAGGGUCGAUACUUCUAACAGCUAGCAUCCAUAGUUUACGGCGUGGACUAC